CUCUCACUCUCAAACCCUUCUUCUCUCUUGCUCUUUCUUUCGCUCUCGCACACAACAGAAAUCUUCGAACUGAAAACCCAAUCCAAUAUCAAUUUCUUCCAAUCCAACAUCGAACUGAAAACCCAGAAAAAAUCUCAACCAUCUCGCCUCGCAAACUAGAAAACCCCAUUCCAGCCAAAGGAUCUCAGUCUCAAUCCGUAUCUUGGUCUCAAUCUGAAUCCGCAUCUGUCCUUGGCGAUUGCAUUGGGCAGCAACAUAGGCGGUUUAGGCGGAGGCUGUUAUCUAUUGAAUCCAAAAUAGGAAGAGGAAAGUUCAAGGGCAAGCCCACGGGUCAGUGCCACUUCUGCACUCACGAAGAGAUGGUUUUUUCGAUGGCUUUUUUGGUGCUGGUAUAUGAUCCAACAUAUUUAGUGAGCAAUAUAUGGCGGCAUGAACAAUUAGUGAGAGAGCAUUGUGUUGAAUAUGUAUAAGGGGUGAGAUGGUUGGACCUGGACACAUGGCAGCUCUUGAGGAAUGAGGUUUUCCUUUUGAUAUAAUUUGGUGAAUUGACACCUUUCACUCCUCCAAAAUUACAGGUAAAGGAAUGUUUUGUAGUUGUAUUUCUUUAGUUACUCCAUUAAAUACUACUAUUAUCAGAUGGUUGUGCACUCGGGAUUUGCCGAUAAAUGGGAUUAAUUUAGUGAAAACAAUUCUUCAUCUUGCACUAUGCAUUUUGUAUGUGUUCUUCAAUUGUU